CAGGUGGCUGGGCUACCUGGGCCUGCUGCUGCUGGAUGUCAUCAUCUGUCUCCUGGUGCUGGUGGGCCUCAUCCGCAGCUCCAAGGGCAUCCUGGUGGGGUGAGUCUGGGGGUGUCGGCCCCCCGUGGGCCCAAAGCGGAGGGGCAGGGCAAGGCACCAUGUUACCCCUUCCCCCACCUCAUCUGCAGAUCCUAGCCACAAGCUCUGCGGUGGGGGCUGAGCGGGACCCCCCUGCACUGGGCCUGCUCUGAGAUGCCCCUUCCGUGCCUGUGGCCUGUGCCCCUGUGGCCAGCAUCCCAGCACACUUGCCCCCAGCCCUUGAUUUCCUGCAAGAGUCUGCACGUGGGGCACUUGUAGCCCAGGACCUGAAGCAACCUGCCCAGGUCUCCGAGAGCCUGGGGCCACCCAGAGACCAGGCUGGGGCUCCUUCCUCCACCCCUUCCAUCCUUGGCCCUGGGGCAGCCUGGGUUCCAGCCCCAGCUCUGGCUCACUAGGAGGGUGACCUUGGGCAGGUGGCUUCUUGUUGCUGGGCCUUGGUCUCCUCGUUUGGAAGGCAGAGAGAGCGGCAGCUCCUCUGUGGGAGGGUCUGCCUGCUGGGAGUCCUGGCCCUGGUCAUCAGCUGGGGUGCGCUGGGCUUGGAGCUGGCUGUGUCCGUGGGCUCCAGCGACUUCUGUGUGGACCCUGACACCUACGUGACCAAAAUGGUGGAGGAGUACUCGGUGCUGAGUGGG
rnacentral:sRNA from 1 species